UUCUCUCUCUCUCCCCUCCUUUUUUUUCUUUCUUUAUUUUUUUUUCUAGUAGCCGAAGAAGCAAACUGCAGAGACUACAUGGAAGGACUGAUCAGCAGGCAUUCUUCGUCACCGAUUCAGGCAACUUCAGUGACUCAGUUUCAAUCAGUCACACACCAAAGCCAGGGCCUGUCUCUGGAGUACAGGGACAUGGCAGUGACCAACCACAGGCUGCAGCGAGAGGAAGCACUGAAUGCACAGCCAGGAAAUCAUCUCCCUAUGGGAUGAAAUCCAUCAUGCAGCACAGAAACAGAACAGGAAUUGAGAGUCAUUGGAGUGGGAUUGUGGGAGAGGGUGGUCCUCAAAAUCUAUGGGGAAAUGGACUUCAGUAUUUCAUCAAAGACAGACUCUGGAUGUCUGCCUGCACAGGAUACUUUGAAACAGAAGUCUAAAGGAUCCUUAAGGCUGCCUGAGACAUCCUGAACAGCCUUUCUACUCAGAGCUUCUUUUUAACCUUCAGCAGACUGC
rnacentral:lncRNA from 12 species